rnacentral:rRNA from 1 species
AUACAACUUUCAACAACGGAUCUCUUGGUCUCGCAUCGAUGAAGAACGCGCGAAAUGCGAUAAGUAAUGUGAAUUGCAGAAUUCAGUGAAUCAUCGAAUCUUUGAACGCACCUUGCGCUCCUUGGUAUUCCGAGGAGCAUGCCUGUUUGAGUGUCAUG